rnacentral:lncRNA from 1 species
UUUAACGUAUUUCUUAUUCCUUCCUGUUUUAUAAAAAUCAAAUUUUCCACAUUGUUUUGAAUGUUUUUUAAAAAAAAAAAAAAAAAACCCGUAUUAUCGAAAAUGAGAGAGAAAAUUAUCAUAAUCAGCAUUAGUUGAUAAAUACUAGGACGAUAUUUUAUUAUAGACGUUACAGAAACGCUUUUCGUGGACAGACUGUCACUCAUAUCGUCGCGUCGCUUGUACGUUUGACACGGCCUUACUUGUAAAUUUUAUUUGGUAACUUCUCUAAAAUAAUAUUGCUUUACUAUAUAAUUAUAAGAUUUGGCAUUAGUUUAAACUUCAUAUCCGUUAAAUUAUAGUGUUUCUUUAAUAUCGAUAUUCCUGCAUGAGCAAUAAUAAUUCGGUAUGCGUUGUAAUUAGCGCAGAAAAAAGAAAACAUUAUAUUGACAGAGUUACAUUAGGAACACACAUUCUUUAAUAACACGUUAUUUUAUAUCGAAAAUCGAUUAGCAGAAUAACAUUCGUCCUAUUAAAAUAUGUGACGUAUACAUUCGGGCGGAUAUAGAUCCAAUUGUUAGUAUUAAAGUGUAGCCAACAAAAAAAAAAAAAACAUUUUUGUGUGUUGGUGUGUGUGUGCAUUGACCCCAUUUCCGCUGGCCGAACACUAAGAGGAAAUUGUGUUUGUUGUAGAAACAUGAAAAUAACAUAAUAUAAGAUCACGUAUUUAUAUAAUGGAGCAUGUAAAUAAAUAAUUCUCUGUAACAUAAUGAAUUUCAUUUGUACUCCAUUUCACGUGACAGGCAUUGUAAAUUGAAUCAGAUUGUCACAUUGAUACAUAUACCGUGUUGAUUUAGUUUCAUCGUGCAUUGGUUUUAAUUUCCUUUAAUUAUUCUUGUCAAGGACGAUAGCUAAAAAUGUCACACACGACGAAAACUACGACUUUUUUCGCUAUUCUUUGGUAAAUUUUAUUUAAUGCGUACUGUUACAGUUUGGUCAUCGUUCUUCUAGAACACACACACAUAUAUAUAUAUUAAUGUUUUUUCAGGUGUUUCCGAUUAUUGCUCAAUAAGAGGAAAGUCUGUUUUUCUCAUGUUUAAUAUCUCCUGUCAUAUAAUGUUUAACUCUUUUAAUUAUUAUUAUUUAUUUUUAUGGAUUUUUCCGCGACGAAUUUUUUAUUUUUGUGCAUAAACCGGUUAGGUUUCCGUUAUCUGUGCUCGGACAGACAGAGCGACAUAAACUUGGCGCCUUCGAUAACAAUUGUCUUUCCUAUUACAGUAGUUAUUAUACAACUAUUCGAAUACGAAUGUCAUCUGGAAACUGUUAAUGGUCGGAUAUUGGAGUGCAUUCUUACUACGUUUGUCAGUCGCACUGUUCGUGUACCAAUAGUAGUAGUAGUUUAACAAUAAUACCGUACGUCACAUUUAAACACAUUAUCCUUGUUUAAGAAGAUUGAACUUUUUCGGUUGCGUGGCGAUGAGAGUAAUUAAUACUCCCCAUUUGGCGCAUUAAAAUUUCAAAUUUUGUCCUUUAUUCCUGUUUUGUAAUCUUUGCUUAGGCUUUCUUGCGCGUCAAAGACGCGAACGAUACUAAGAUACAAUGGUAAAUUAUAUAAACCAUCUUAAAAGUGAUAUAGGCUUUAAAUAAACAGCAUUAAAAGCUUUACCGUGAUGCAUUUUAUCGUUCUGAAACUGCUUAUCUAACUAUUAUCUAAUGCCGAAUGGUAACUGUGUGUGCUUUUACAAUUCUCGAUAGUGUCGUUGGUUUGAAUAAAUAACAAAGAUACAUCCAUUAACGCUUAACAUUUCGUAUUACUCGGUUAUUAUUGUAACCUACGCAGUGCUAAUACGUUUUUAAUAUCGUAGAAAUUAUU